AGCGUUGUGCGGAAUCAUUGGGCGUAAAGGGCGCGUAGGUGGUUCUGUAUGUCUACCGUGAAAGCGUACGGCUCAACCGUAUUUUGUCGGUAGAAACUGCAGGACUUGAGGCUGGGAGGGGCUGGUGGAAUUCCCUGUGUAGCGGUGAAAUGCGUAGAGAUGGGGGAGAACACUCGUGGCGAAGGCGGCCAGCUAGACCAGUUCUGACACUGAGGCGCGACAGCGUGGGGAGCAAACAGG
rnacentral:rRNA from 1 species